rnacentral:rRNA from 1 species
GUGGAUUAGAUACCCUGGUAGUCCGCACAGUAAACGAUGUGCACUAGGUGUUGGGCCGAGCGGUUCAGUGCCGAAGCUAACGUGAUAAGUGCACCGCCUGGGGAGUAUGCCCGCAAGGGUGAAACUCAAAGGAAUUGACGGGGGCCCGCACAAGCGGUGGAGCAUGUGGUUUAAUUCGAUGGUACGCGAGGAACCUUACCUGGGUUUGACAUCCUGAGGAAUACGGUAGAGAUAUCGUAGCGUAGCAAUACGUCGCAGGACAGGUGCUGCACGGUCGUCGCCAACU